rnacentral:rRNA from 1 species
AACGAACGCUGGCGGCAGGCUUAACACAUGCAAGUCGAACGCCCCGCAAGGGGAGUGGCAGACGGGUGAGUAACGCGUGGGAACAUACCCUUUCCUGCGGAAUAGCUCUGGGAAACUGGAAUUAAUACCGCAUACGCCCUACGGGGGAAAGACUAAUCGGGGAAGGAUUGGCCCGCGUUGGAUUAGCUAUUUGGUGGGGUAAAGGCCUACCAAGGCGACGAUCCAUAGCUGGUCUGAGAGGAUGAUCAGCCACAUUGGGACUGAUACACGGCCCAAACUCCUACGGGAGGCAGCAGUGGGGAAUAUUGGACAAUGGGCGCAAGCCUUAUCCAGCCAUGCCGCGUGAGUGAUGAAGGCCUUAGGGUUGUAAAGCUCUUUCACCGAUGAAGAUAAUGACGGUAGUGGGAGAAGAAGCCCCGGCUAACUUCGUGCCAGCCGCCGCCGUAACAC